rnacentral:rRNA from 1 species
CACGUAGGGAGCAAGCGUUGUCCGGAUUUAUUGGGCGUAAAGAGCUCGUAGGCGGCUCAGUAAGUCGGGUGUGAAACCUCCAGGCUCAACCCUGGAGACGCCAUCCGAUACUGCUGUGGCUAGAGUCCGGUAGGGGAGCGUGGAAUUCCUGGUGUAGCGGUGAAAUGCGCAGAUAUCAGGAGGAACACCAGCGGCGAAGGCGGCGCUCUGGGCCGGAACUGACGCUGAGGAGCGAAAGCGUGGGGAGCGAACAGG